rnacentral:misc_RNA from 1 species
CGAGCGUCAUUUAAACCAAUCCAGCCUCGUGCUUGGGUCUUGGGCCUUUCGCCUCUGGGCGGGCCUCAAAAUCAGUGGCGGCGCUCCUGGCUCUACGCGUAGUAAUACUCCUCGCUAUAGAUGUCUGGUGGUGUCCUGCCAAAACCCCCCCAUUUUUUAAGGUUGACCUCGGAUCAGGUAGGGAUACCCGCUGAACUUAA